rnacentral:misc_RNA from 1 species
UCGGACAAUCCUACCUUGCAGUUGGAAGCAAUCACUCAAUUCAGAAAGCUACUGUCAAUUGAACGCUGCCCUCCCAUCGAUGAGGUAAUAAAAGUAGGUGUUGUUCCUCGCUUUGUGGAGUUCCUGGAUAGGCACGAUCUGCCUCAGCUGCAAUUUGAGGCGGCUUGGGCAUUGACAAAUAUUGUGUCUGGGACAUCAGAACAUACAAGGGUUGUUAUUGAUCAUGGUGCUCUUCCAAAAUUUGUGCAACUUCU